rnacentral:lncRNA from 1 species
ACUCUCAUGCUGCCUCUGCAAUUCAUUGCUCAUAGAGGCUAGUAUGAUGUACUUGACAGUCAAACUGUCAUUCUUCCAUAUUCUGAUGUGGAUACCUCCUCUGUGGCAUCAUCCCCAACCUCUUGUGGUUCGAAGACAUCAAGAAUAUAGGAGAGCUUCUCCUGAGUGAGUAUGAUUUUUAAAUUUCUCAAUCAGUCUACAUAAUUG